rnacentral:rRNA from 1 species
GACGAACGCUGGCGGCGUGCUUAACACAUGCAAGUCGAACGGUAAGGCCCUUCGGGGUACACGAGUGGCGAACGGGUGAGUAACACGUGGGUGAUCUGCCCUGCACUUCGGGAUAAGCCUGGGAAACUGGGUCUAAUACCGGAUAGGACUCCGGACUGCAUGGUCUGGUGUGGAAAGCUUUUGCGGUGUGGGAUGGGCCCGCGGCCUAUCAGCUUGUUGGUGGGGUGAUGGCCUACCAAGGCGACGACGGGUAGCCGGCCUGAGAGGGUGACCGGCCACACUGGGACUGAGAUACGGCCCAGACUCCUACGGGAGGCAGCAGAGGGGAAUAUUGCACAAUGGGCGCAAGCCUGAUGCAGCGACGCCGCGUGAGGGAUGACGGCCUUCGGGUUGUAAACCUCUUUCAGCACAGACGAAGCGCAAGUGACGGUAUGUGCAGAAGAAGGACCGGCCAACUACGUGCCAGCCGCCGCGGUAA